rnacentral:rRNA from 1 species
GACGGAGCAAUACCGCGUGAGGGAUGACGGCCUAUGGGUUGUAAACCUCUUUUUUCAGGGAGGAAUCAAUGACGUGUACCUGAAGAAUAAGCAUCGGCUAACUCCGUGCCAGCAGCCGCGGUAAGACGGAGGAUGCAAGUGUUAUCCGGAAUCACUGGGCGUAAAGCGUCUGUAGGUGGUUUAAUAAGUCAACUGUUAAAUCUUGAGGCUCAACUUCAAAAUCGCAGUCGAAACUAUUAGACUAGAGUAUAGUAGAGGUAAAGGGAAUUUCCAGUGGAGCGGUGAAAUGCGUAGAUAUUGGAAAGAACACCGAUGGCGAAAGCACUUUACUGGGCUAUUACUAACACUCAGAGACGAAAGCUAGGGUAGCAAAUGGGAUUAGAUACCCCAGUAGUC